AUUGAACGCUGGCGGCAGGCCUAACACAUGCAAGUCGAACGAGUGGCGGACGGGUGAGUAAUGUCUGGGCAACUGGCCGAUGGAGGGGGAUAACUACUGGAAACGGUAGCUAAUACCGCAUACCAUCGGAUGUGCCCAGAGGGGAUUAGCUAGUAGGUGGGGUAACGGCUCACCUAGGCGACGAUCCCUAGCUGGUCUGAGAGGAUGACCAGCCACACUGGAACUGAGACACGGUCCAGACUCCUACGUGAGGCAGCAGUGGGGAAUAUUGCCCAAUGGGCGAAAGCCUUAUGCAGCCAUGCCGCGUGUAUGAAGAAGGCGUUCGGGUUGUAAAGUACUUUCAGCGGGGAGGCGUUACUCACAGAAGAAGCACCGGCUAACUCCGUGCCAGCAGCCGCGGUAAUUC
rnacentral:rRNA from 1 species